UGGACGAAGUCUGACGGAGCCCUGCCGCGUGAACGAUGAAGGCUUUCGGGUCGUAAAGUUCUGUUGUCAGGGAAGAACAAGUACCGGAUUAACUGCCGGUACCUUGACGGUACCUGACCAAAAAGCCACGGCUAACUACGUGCCAGCAGCCGCGGUAAUACGUAGGGGGCAAGCGUUGUCCGGAAUUAUUGGGCGUAAAGCGCGCGCAGGCGGUUCCUUAAGUCUGAUGUGAAAGCCCCCGGCUCAACCGGGGAGGGUCAUUGGAAACUGGGGAACUUGAGUGCAGAAGAGGAGAGCGGAAUUCCACGUGUAGCGGUGAAAUGCGUAGAGAUGUGGAGGAACACCAGUGGCGAAGGCGGCUCUCUGGUCUGUAACUGACGCUGAGGCGCGAAAGCGUGGGGAGCGAACAGGAUUAGAUACCCUGGUAGUCCACGCCGUAAACGAUGAGUGCUAAGUGUUAGAGGGUUUCCGCCCUUUAAUGCUGCAGCAAACGCAUUAAGCACUCCGCCUGGGGAGUACGGCCGCAAGGCUGAAACUCAAAGGAAUUGACGGGGGCCCGCACAAGCGGUGGAACAUGUGGUUUAAUUCGAAGCAACGCGAAAAACCUUACCAGGUCUUGACAUCCUCUGACAACCCUAGAGAUAGGGCGUUCCCCUUCGGGGGACAGAGUGACAGGUGGUGCAUGGUUGUCGUCAGCUCGUGUCGUGAGAUGUUGGGUUAAGUCCCGCAACGAGCGCAACCCUUGAUCUUAGUUGCCAGCAUUCAGUUGGGCACUCUAAGGUGACUGCCGGUGACAAACCGGAGGAAGGUGGGGAUGACGUCAAA
rnacentral:rRNA from 1 species